UACGUAGGGUGCGAGCGUUGUCCGGAAUUACUGGGCGUAAAGAGCUCGUAGGUGGUUUGUCGCGUUGUCCGUGAAAACUCACAGCUUAACUGUGGGCGUGCGGGCGAUACGGGCAGACUGGAGUACUGCAGGGGAGACUGGAAUUCCUGGUGUAGCGGUGGAAUGCGCAGAUAUCAGGAGGAACACCGGUGGCGAAGGCGGGUCUCUGGGCAGUAACUGACGCUGAGGCGCGAAAGCGUGGGGAGCAAACAGG
rnacentral:rRNA from 1 species